AUACCACCCUUUAAUGUUUGAUGUUCUAACGUGGGCCCCUUACCGGGGUUGCGGACAGUGUCUGGUGGGUAGUUUGACUGGGGCGGUCUCCUCCUAAAGAGUAACGGAGGAGCACGAAGGUUGGCUAAUCCUGGUCGGACAUCAGGAGGUUAGUGCAAUGGCAUAAGCCAGCUUGACUGCGAGCGUGACGGCGCGAGCAGGUGCGAAAGCAGGUCAUAGUGAUCCGGUGGUUCUGAAUGGAAGGGCCAUCGCUCAACGGAUAAAAGGUACUCCGGGGAUAACAGGCUGAUACCGCCCAAGAGUUCAUAUCGACGGCGGUGUUUGGCACCUCGAUGUCGGCUCAUCACAUCCUGGGGCUGAAGUAGGUCCCAAGGGUAUGGCUGUUCGCCAUUUAAAGUGGUACGCGAGCUGGGUUUAGAACGUCGUGAGACAGUUCGGUCCCUAUCUGCCGUGGGCGCUGGAGAACUGAGGGGGGCUGCUCCUAGUACGAGAGGACCGGAGUGGACGCAUCACUGGUGUUCGGGUUGUCAUGCCAAUGGCACUGCCCGGUAGCUAAAUGCGGAAGAGAUAAGUGCUGAAAGCAUCUAAGCACGAAACUUGCCCCGAGAUGAGUUCUCCCUGACUCCUUGAGAGUCCUGAAGGAACGUUGAAGACGACGACGUUGAUAGGCCGGGUGUGUAAGCGCAGCGAUGCGUUGAGCUAACCGGUACUAAUGAACCGUGAGGCUUAACCUUACAACGCCGAAG
rnacentral:rRNA from 1 species